rnacentral:rRNA from 1 species
UACGUAGGGGGCAAACGUUGCUCGGAAUUACUGGGCGUAAAGGGUGUGUAGGCGGCUGAGCAAGUCAAAGAUGAAAUCCCGAGGCUCAACUUCGGAAUGGUUUUUGAAACUGCUUAGCUUGAGGAUAGUUGAAGAGAAUGGAAUUCCCGGUGGAGCGGUGAAAUGCGUAGAUAUCGGGAGGAACACCUGAGGCGUAGGCGAUUCUCUACGCUACUCCUGACGCUGAAACACGAAAGCUAGGGGAGCAAACGGG